CCUCGGGAGGCAGCAGUGGGGAAUAUUGGACAAUGGGCGAAAGCCUGAUCCAGCCAUGCCGCGUGUGUGAAGAAGGCCUUCGGGUUGUAAAGCACUUUCAGUGGGGAAGAAAGCCUUGGGGCUAAUACCCUCGAGGAAGGACAUCACCCACAGAAGAAGCACCGGCUAACUCCGUGCCAGCAGCCGCGGUAAUACGGAGGGUGCGGGCGUUAAUCGGAAUUACUGGGCGUAAAGCGCGCGUAGGCGGUCUGAUAAGCCGGUUGUGAAAGCCCCGGGCUCAACCUGGGAACGGCAUCCGGAACUGUCAGGCUAGAGUGCAGGAGAGGAAGGUAGAAUUCCCGGUGUAGCGGUGAAAUGCGUAGAGAUCGGGAGGAAUACCAGUGGCGAAGGCGGCCUUCUGGACUGACACUGACGCUGAGGUGCGAAAGCGUGGGUAGCAAACAGGAUUAGAUACCCCAGUAGUC
rnacentral:rRNA from 1 species